rnacentral:miRNA from 1 species
UGACUCUGCUUCCCCGCGAAGGCGGGGGCCUCAGGCCGUUGCGCGCAACCUCCUGAGGCCCCCGCCUUCGCGGGGGAGCAGCGAUA